UACGUAGGGCGCAAGCGUUGUCCGGAAUUAUUGGGCGUAAAGAGCUCGUAGGCGGCUUGUCACGUCGGGUGUGAAAGCCCGGGGCUUAACCCCGGGUCUGCAUUCGAUACGGGCUAGCUAGAGUGUGGUAGGGGAGAUCGGAAUUCCUGGUGUAGCGGUGAAAUGCGCAGAUAUCAGGAGGAACACCGGUGGCGAAGGCGGGUCUCUGGGCCGUAACUGACGCUGAGGAGCGAAAGCGUGGGGAGCAAAUAGG
rnacentral:rRNA from 1 species